AGUUUUCAGAAAUUCGAACCAAAUAUGUGUUUGAUAAAGCGACUUUGGAGAUCAGUUUAUGGUUUUUUUCGACGACCUCACGUUCGUUUCACACCGAACACUAUCAUCAUUUCGGAUAGUCGCGAAAUGACCAAUCGAAACAACAUUCGAGCUUAUAUGUCUGAGCAACGUCGAAAGGCGCAGGAAAGAUUCGAUAAUCUUUGAAAGGACGAUUUAUAAUACAAAUUAUUAUUUAUCCAGAUUCUCCGCUCUGUAUUGAAGAUCUUCAACUGAAGCAACUCCUCCGGCGUUAGGUGGAAAUCAAAUAUGUCCAGAUUCUCGACGAGAUGGGCUCGCUGGGCAGCUUUUGGAAUAGGUACCGUGCCAAUGUCGAUCUGUGGAACAUUUGUUUUGUUUAGCCAAUAAAUAUCUUCAUCACUUUACAA
rnacentral:sRNA from 1 species